rnacentral:misc_RNA from 1 species
GAAUUGCGAAAAGUAAUGUGAAUUGCAGAAUUUCGUGAAUCAUCGAAUCUUUGAACGCAUAUUGCACUUUCUGGUCCUCCAGAAAGUAUGCCUGUUUGAGUAUCAUUCAACUCCUCAUUCCCUCCACGGGCGUUUACUCGCUCCCUGGUGGGCAAUGGAUGUGAGCCUCUGGCGCCUCAUGGUGCUGGUUGCUUGAAAUGCAGCGUGGCUGUGCUUGACCCACAUCCCACUGGCGUAUUAGUUCUCGUCAGAGAUUCCUUACGCACCAACAGUGGGGUUUUCGCGGUCUGCAGCUGCGACUCUUUGACUGCAGUGCGCUUACAGUUGUAAGCGUGCUCAAACUCUUGAUCUCAAAUCAGGCAAGACUACCCGCUGAAUUUAA